CGGUUUGAUUAUAUUCCUAAACCCCCAUUUGUUGUUGAAUUGCAAUUUGUAAUCUUUUUUCAAAAGGGUUUCUGAAUUUGAGUUCAAAUUUGUAUCUUUCAGCUUCACAAAAUGUCUCUCCCUUAUCCCUCAUCUCAACUCGUAUCUUCUGCUUUCACUUGUUUCCACAACAACUCCUUCACAAUUCAACCUCCUUUUCUGGGUUUCAAGAGUACAUCACGUUUUGUGAAGAAGCACGGUUGCCGUUUAGGUGUUAAACCAUUUUCUGCAUCUCAGAAGACAAGGCUCAAGAUCUCAUGUGCUAUGAAUAUGUCUGCAGCACAUCAAUCAGAUGAUGAUAGAAAAGUGCAACUUGACCAGUUAAUAGACAAAGCACAUAAGCUUUGGGACAGUUCUCCCGAGCCGGUGAAGAUUUUCCCGUGGAAGAGAGCAUUGGGAAACUUUGUUCAGCUUGUUCUUGAUCUUACUUUGGCUGUUGUCAAAUACCUAUCUAUACCUGUAUUCGCUGUUACCUCCAUCAGUGAGUUAUCCUAUUGUGCGCAUGAAAGGAAGCUAGUUCUUGUUCCUCUUCCGGUUCUUUUUGGAGCUGCUGUUGCUGGUAUCCUUAAAGAGACUGCAUUAGAGUUAUCUCCACGACAAAGGGAUGCAGAAGUUCCAUGGCAUUUAAUUGCCAUUGCAAUUUUCUUCACAUUGAUCAAAUUGCCAGGUCCAUAUUACCCUUAUUGGGGGCGUAUACUUAUUCCUCACUUUGCAAAUGGGGUUUUGUUGAGGACUCUAUGGUUUGCAGUAUUGUGGUAUAGAAGACCUAAAGCAUUGAAGAUGUCAGAUUCUGAUAGUUAGUUAACCAACUGAGCUAUGGUACAACCUUGCAAAGUCAAUUUCAGUUCUGUGGUUGCAAAUCCUCCAUUGUGGGUGUGUCUCCAUUCAGUGUUGGGUGUGACUCCUGCAUGGUGUGUGUGUGUGUGUCAAUUCAGCUGUGACCUAUAAAGCACGGAUACCCUUGAGAUUAAGUGUGUGACAAGGGACACAGGAAACAGAUGUUUUCACUAAUGACGACCUUAUUGGAAAAUUAAGCAAUACAUUGAGAUUUUUAUCUGCUUGGUUUGUGACUUGGGAAUGGCUGAUUCAGUUGUGUUGAAUGAUUCAAGUAAUCAGGUGGAUAAGCAUUAAAUAGAUGUCAAUGAUGACUCAUCCUUUUUGUAUAAGAAACAAAUAUUUGGUCUUAUCAUGCUUCUCAAACCUAUGGUGGAGAAGGUGCAAGUGUUUUUAUGUUUUUCUCUUUUCCUUUUUUAUUAUGGUGACAGUUGACAUGUUCACAUUGAAGCAUGUACACAAUUUUGAACCCAUAUGAACAAAUUAGGGAAGUUUAUUUAAGAUCAUUAUGCACAUAGAUCAUAGAUGCUUCUAAGCAUCAAAUUUGCUUGUUUGGUAAUAUUAACAUAGAUAAUGGUAAUUUGAGUGAAGAACAAUUUUUUA